GAAAAUUUAGUUAAAAUAUAACAUUAAUUUGUCAAAUUAAAAUAAUUUUUUUU
rnacentral:tRNA from 1 species